AUGCAAAAGCAGGGUGGUAAAUAUCUAGGAGAGAUGUAUGCAGAAAUUAGAGAAGAGUCGCCACCAAGUCCGAUACAAGUGGAAUUACAUGAUCUGUUUGAAGAUGAUCAUACAUGGUUAAGGAAAGAGAAGGGGAGAUCUCGUAGAGUGUUUGGGCGGAUGGCGAUGCAAUGCUUGUGCUCCCGGGAACAGGCCAAUGUGGUUGAUGAUCUCAACCCAUCAAAUGGAGAAAUCGAUUUGUAUGCCAAAAAUUAUGACCUUCGGGAAGCCGACUUAUAUCUUGAGGAGGGUGAUACCUUAACUAUGAGGUUGGUGCUUCAUCCUGUAACAUAA
rnacentral:rRNA from 1 species